UAGCCUUCAGAUUUGUCUGCUAACAGUAAAAAUACUAUAAUAAAUCGGUAACAUAUGUUGCCAGGCAAGGAAAAGUGAUAUAAAUAAAGAGACUGGGAGACCCAAACCAAGUACAAUAUUGCAUUCUUACCCAAAUACUCUUCGUGAUUGCCUGCUUUGCGGUUUUGGGAUUCUUCAGGGAGUAGAGAACAUUCACAUGGGUUGACAUCCCAGUUUUCUCAGCAUAUUUCUGAACCAACUGAGGGAUACAUAAAGAAGUCAGACAAAGCUGGGCACGGUGGCUCACGCCUGUAAUCCCAGCACUUUGGGAGGCCGAGGAAAUAAAAUUAGGAGAAAUCUGCUAAAUUCAUCCAAAAGAAUACAAGAGUUUGGGAAUAUAAAAAAGGUACUACUUAUUUAAAUGCUAAUGAAAACCAGCUUUAUCAUUUCUAAAGAGGAUUUUGGUGUUAUUUUUCUUCUCCCAGUGAAAAAUUUUACUGCUCCUGCCUGACAAAGGGACAUGGGCUUGAGCCUGAUAUUUGAGACUAUAUAAAUAGCUGAUCUGGAAAUUU
rnacentral:lncRNA from 1 species